CCCUCUCACCCUAGUGGCCUAGUCUCUCUCGUUCGAUGUGGGUUCAAAUUCUCUUUCAAUCGUUCUUCAAAUAUCAUCAGUGGUUCUCUUAGGGUUCUGCUGCAGUUCUCUCUACAGAAUCGGUUGCUACUCUUGAGGUGGUACACUGGUGUUGCUGCAGUUUGUUUCACGAAUCCGCUAUUUAAUUGAGAUGGAAAAGAAAUCGUUGACAUGUGCUUCGACCGAAUCACAAAGCUUGCUUUACGAAACAAGAAGGAUGCAACUCCUAUAAUGCAGAUUGCUGACACAUUGUUGAGGGAUCAAUGGAAGUUCUGAUAAGAUGUUUUAAUACACCGAAAACCACAACAAGGUGGAAUUCUUCAUGUCGAUCCCCCUAUUUUCUUUCUCACUUUCAAACUGGGAUUAAGGUCUACUUGUUAAAGAAGUGGUAUAUAAAAGCUUGUUAUCCUUUUAUAAGGGAAGAUAUUAUGAGAAGCUUUGGAGCUAAGUUUUACAAUAGAGAAAUUUUCACCCAAAAAAACGUUUAGACUUCUCGUGUAAACAUGUAGAUUUGGAAUUUGUUACAACAUUUGGAAUAUUUUUCAGAUCAAACUUAUUAUUGAAGUUAUAAUAUUAUGAUUUGUACAUCUA
rnacentral:lncRNA from 1 species